GGACGGCCAUUUUAUGGCCGGAGGGGGGGGCGCUGAUGGGAGGGCUCGGCCGGGCGACGACAGCUUCCCAGCCUUGUGCUGCCCCGGGCAUGGGCAGCUGACACCCGUACGCUCCCGCUGGGAAAAGCAGAAAGCCGGAGGAGGCUCGGCGUCGUGCCCCGCCGGACAGCGCCUCCGCCCUCCCUCACAGGGGAGAAGGCGGUGCCGCCCCCCUCCCCUGCUUUGGAUGGGGCCAGCAGAUUAUGUGCUGAAAACCAUCUUGGAGGAUUCAAAAUACUGUACAGGAAGGCUGGGCCACAAGACUUGUAGAACAGUUGCAUAAAAAGAAUUUAAAACCUGCUUAGGAGGCAGUCCUGGGAGAAGAGACAAUGAAGAAGAUUCUACUUAUGUAAAAAUGGAUGCACUGCAAUUCAUUUUUCACUUUGAAAACAAGUCGAGUUUCAACCAGAGUCAAAACAAAUGCCUUCUAGGAUCAAAGCCAAACAAUUCAGAGUUAAUGUUUGAUUCUCUUUCUGGUAUCUAGCAAUAAGUAACUAAAACUACGUUCAAAACAAACACCAAAAAAGUUAUCACAAGGUUUCAGCAGGGGACAGUUAGCUGUCAGUUUUAAGGCAUUUAUGUGUUUUUUCCCCAUUUCUUUUGGCCUUCCUGAAACAUGCAUGAAUUUUCAUUCAUGAAAAGUGGCAUGAAAUGAAAAGAUGAAAUCUUAUUUUGGACAGCCAAAAAAAUGCAAUAUUUACAGUCUGGUCUAUAGCCUGGACUUCGGUAUAUCCUUUUGAUGAGCAAGCUGUAAGAAAGAGGAGAGAAGGUUAUGGUUUUAAGAUGUCUUACUCCAAGCUGUAUACUUCACUUCUCCCCACCCAUCUCAAUAAACAUCUACAAUUGUGCAGUUAAAAAAAAUCAUUAUUUAAAUUUAACAGAUUACAAGUUCCUUUCAGCCUUAUAAUGAAACAAUAAAUUAAGGCUCUGAUCUAGGAUCAUUCUUUCAAAUUCUGUAUUCUAAGUCUUUUUUUUUUUUUUUGUAGCAAUGUGUCAGCAAACUAGGAUAGUACAGAUAGAUAUGUUCAAGUGGUAUGUAAAGACUUUAGUGGUGAGGGAGGGAAGCAAAAAGGCAAGCUGUCAGUUGACGCUAUGACACUAUAAUUUCUGCCACAAAGUCAUAUUUAUCCUUGAUUUUCCUGGGCAUUUCUGAAAAUACUGGGAACCUCCUGGACAGUUACUAGGAGGAGCAUAACUGAUACAUAAAACCCAAGAAGCAUGUUUCCAAAGCAUCAUGAUUACUUGUGAGAAGAAUUAUUUGGGAAUUGUCUUUUAGAGAAUUGUCUUUUAGAUAUCUGCUCUAAAAGCUCUAGAAUGCUGGUUGAAGUCAUUUUGCAACUGUUGACAAACACUUAGAUUCUGCAGACUCACAUAUCUAAGGAUAUCGAGGUGGGGAAAAAAAAGUCUUGAGUGUUGUCAUUCUAGUAUUGAGGCAGCUGAGAAGGUGUUAAGGAGCCUAUGGAAAGAGCUGAGCU